rnacentral:rRNA from 1 species
UACGUAGGGUGCAAGCGUUGUCCGGAAUUAUUGGGCGUAAAGAGCGUGUAGGCGGCCGUACAGGUCAGCUGUGAAAACUCGAGGCUCAACCUCGAGACGUCGGUUGAAACCGUACGGCUAGAGUCCGGAAGAGGAGAGUGGAAUUCCCGGUGUAGCGGUGAAAUGCGCAGAUAUCGGGAAGAACACCCCGUGGCGAAGGCGGCUCUCUGGGACGGUACUGACGCUGAGACGC